rnacentral:misc_RNA from 1 species
UUUCCGUAGGUGAACCUGCGGAAGGAUCAUUACAGUAGUCGCCCGGGUUGCCGCAAGGCAUCCCGGGUAACCUACCACCGUUUGGUUAUUACACUUUGUUGCUUUGGCGGGCCUGCCCUCGGGCUACUGGCUCCGGGCGGCGAGCGCUUGCCAGAGGAACUAAACUCUGUUUGUCUAUACUGUCUGAGUACUAUAUAAUAGUUAAAACUUUCAACAACGAAUCUCUUGGUUCUG